GAGCCCGUAGCUCAGCCGGUAGAGCACGUGACUUUUAAUCAUGGGGUCCCGGGUUCGAAUCCCGGCGGGCUCACCA
rnacentral:tRNA from 1 species